GGGGGAUAUUGCACAAUGGGGGAAACCCUGAUGCAGCAAUGCCGCGUGAAGGAAGAAGGUCUUCGGAUUGUAAACUUCUGUUUUUCGUGACGAAGAAGUGACGGUAGCGAAAAAGAAAGCUCCGGCUAACUACGUGCCAGCAGCCGCGGUAAUACGUAGGGAGCAAGCGUUGUCCGGAUUUACUGGGUGUAAAGGGUGCGCAGGCGGGACUGCAAGUUGGAUGUGAAAUACCGGGGCUCAACCCCGGAGCUGCAUCCAAAACUGUAGUUCUUGAGUGAAGUAGAGGCAGGCGGAAUUCCGAGUGUAGCGGUGAAAUGCGUAGAUAUUCGGAGGAACACCAGUGGCGAAGGCGGCCUGCUGGGCUUUAACUGACGCUGAGGCACGAAAGCAUGGGGAGCAAACAGGAUUAGAUACCCUGGUAGUCCAUGCCGUAAACGAUGAAUGCUAGGUGUGGGGGGACUGACCCCCUCCGUGCCGGAGUAAACACAAUAAGCAUUCCACCUGGGGAGUACGACCGCAAGGUUGAAACUCAAAGGAAUUGACGGGGGCCCGCACAAGCAGUGGAGUAUGUGGUUUAAUUCGAAGCAACGCGAAGAACCUUACCAGGUCUUGACAUCCAACUAACGAACUAGAGAUAGAUUAGGUGCCUUUCGGGGAAAGUUGAGACAGGUGGUGCAUGGUUGUCGUCAGCUCGUGUCGUGAGAUGUUGGGUUAAGUCCCGCAACGAGCGCAACCCCUACGUCUAGUUGCCAUCAUUAAGUUGGGCACUCUAGAGGAACUGCCGGUGACAAACCGGAGGAAGGUGGGGAUGACGUCAAAUCAUCAUGCCCCUUAUGUCCUGGGCUACACACGUGCUACAAUGGACGGUACAGAGGGUUGCCAAGCCGUGAGGUGGAGCUAAUCCCAAAAAGCCGUUCUCAGUUCGGAUUGUAGUCUGCAACUCGACUACAUGAAGUCGGAAUCGCUAGUAAUCGCGAGUCAGCAUAUCGCGGUGAAUACGUUCCCG
rnacentral:rRNA from 1 species